rnacentral:rRNA from 1 species
CAGCCGCCGCGGUAAUACAGAGGGUGCGAGCGUUAAUCGGAUUUACUGGGCGUAAAGCGUGCGUAGGCGGCUUUUUAAGUCGGAUGUGAAAUCCCUGAGCUUAACUUAGGAAUUGCAUUCGAUACUGGGAAGCUAGAGUAUGGGAGAGGAUGGUAGAAUUCCAGGUGUAGCGGUGAAAUGCGUAGAGAUCUGGAGGAAUACCGAUGGCGAAGGCAGCCAUCUGGCCUAAUACUGACGCUGAGGUACGAAAGCAUGGGGAGCAAACAGGAUUAAAUACCCCCGUAGUCCCUGUCUCUUAUAC